UGAGUUUUAGUUUAAUGAAAAUAUCUGUGUUGCAAGCAGAGGAUGUGGUUAAGUACUGCAAAUUCUA
rnacentral:tRNA from 1 species